AGAACGAACGCUGGCGGCAGGCUUAACACAUGCAAGUCGAACGGUUGUAGCAAUACAGCAGUGGCAGACGGGUGAGUAACACGUGGGAACCUUCCUAGGGGUACGGAACAACUCAGGGAAACUUGAGCUAAUACCGUAUACGUCCGUGAGGAGAAAGAUUUAUCGCCCCUAGACGGGCCCGCGUAGGAUUAGGUAGUUGGUGAGGUAACGGCUCACCAAGCCUACGAUCCUUAGCUGAUCUGAGAGGAUGAUCAGCCACACUGGACUGAGACACGGCCCAGACUCCUACGGGAGCAGCAGGUGGGGAAUCGUUGGACAAGUGGGCGACGAAGCCUGAUCCCAGCCAGUGCCGCGUGAGUGAAGAACGGCCGUUCGGGUUGUAAGCUUCUUUACCGAGGGUACG
rnacentral:rRNA from 1 species